rnacentral:lncRNA from 1 species
GUCAUUUUUAUUUAAUCAAUACUAUUAUAAGUCAAAAUAUUAACACUGCUUGCGUCUUAUUAGUGAAUAUUUUUGGAGCAAGAGAAUUAUAUUUCAAAAUAUCAUAUUCUUCUUUAACAGAAAAUGAGUGGGAAUCGAAGUCGUAUUCUACUAGACCUCGCUAGGAAAAUUUGUGAAAGAGAUGAAAGUAAUACCAGACAUUAAAGUACGGGUUUGUAUUCCCAUCAGCCAUUUGUGACUAAUGAAAGUGAAAACCAUAAUACAUAUUCCCAUAUUCAAUGAUUCUGUCACCAGCAAGUUACAAAAAACUACUUUUAUAAAUGAAAGUUUUAAAAUUGCUUCUCCUUUAGCUGAAAAACAAUACGGACAAUAUUUUUAUAUGAUUGUUGAUUUUGAAAACAAAGAAAACCAAAAAA